UCCUUUGCCAGCCGGUCCCGACCACCCAACCGAGCACCAUUACCGUGGAGUGACCGUCGGUAGGGUAGCCGCCAAAUGUCCGCCCUACUGCCAACUCGCCGGGGCGUUGCAGUGCACUACUGGGGUCGCACCACAUGUCGCUAGGGCAUCGCCGGGCAGGAAGGGCCCGUAGGCGAGAUGGGAUUGCUCGCCGGACUCAGACUGGACCAGGGAGCCGCGCCAUCGCAUCGUCGGACCCGCCCUCGCGACGAAAAGCUGGU
rnacentral:lncRNA from 7 species